rnacentral:tRNA from 1 species
GGUGAGGUGUCCGAGUGGUUAAAGGAGGCGGACUGUAAAUCCGCUGGCGUAAGCCUUCGCAGGUUCGAAUCCUGCCCUCACCA